AGGGUUCGAUUCUGGCUCAGAACGAACGCUGGCGGCGCGUUUAAGCAUGCAAGUCGAGCGGCAAGGGCCUUCGGGCCCUAGAGCGGCGGACGGGUGAGUAACACGUGGACAAUCUGCCCCCCGGCCCGGGAUAGCCCAGGGAAACCUGGAUUAAUACCGGAUGAGCGGGACCCGCGAAGGCGGGACCCGGGAAAGGCGCUGCGGCGCCGCCGGGGGAUGAGUCUGCGUCCCAUUAGCUAGACGGCGGGGUAACGGCCCACCGUGGCGACGAUGGGUAGCCGGCCUGAGAGGGUGGACGGCCACAUUGGAACUGAGACACGGUCCAGACUCCUACGGGAGGCAGCAGCUAAGAAUCUUCCGCAAUGGGCGAAAGCCUGACAGAGCGACGCCGCCGUGAACGAAGAAGGCCGUGAGGUUGUAAAGUUCUUUUCGGGAGGGGGAACAACCGUGGCAGGGAAUGGCCGCGGGAUGACGUGAAUCCCGGAAUAAGCCCCGGCUAACUACGUGCCAGCAGCAGC
rnacentral:rRNA from 1 species